rnacentral:rRNA from 1 species
UACGAGGGGUGCAAGCGUUGCUCGGAAUUAUUGGGCGUAAAGGGUAGGUAGGUGGUCUCAUUUGUCUGGGGUGAAAGCCUUGAGCUUAACUCAAGAAGUGCCCCAGAAACGGUGAGACUCGAGUCCUGGAGAGGGUCGUGGAAUUCCCGGUGUAGCGGUGAAAUGCGUAGAGAUCGGGAGGAACACCAGCGGCGAAGGCGGCGACCUGGACAGGUACUGACACUCAACUACGAAAGCGUGGGGAGCAAACAGG